rnacentral:rRNA from 1 species
UACGUAGGGUGCAAGCGUUGUCCGGAAUUAUUGGGCGUAAAGAGCUCGUAGGCGGCUUGUCGCGUCGACUGUGAAAACUUGGGGCUCAACCCCAAGCUUGCAGUCGAUACGGGCAGGCUAGAGUUCGGUAGGGGAGACUGGAAUUCCUGGUGUAGCGGUGAAAUGCGCAGAUAUCAGGAGGAACACCGAUGGCGAAGGCAGGUCUCUGGGCCGAUACUGACGCUGAGGAGCGAAAGCGUGGGGAGCGAACAGG